UACGUAGGGUGCGAGCGUUGUCCGGAUUUACUGGGCGUAAAGAGCGCGCAGGCGGUCGUGCAAGUCGGAUGUGAAAGCCCCCGGCUCAACUGGGGAGGGUCAUUCGAUACUGCUCGACUCGAAGGCGGGAGAGGGAAGCGGAAUUCCCGGUGUAGUGGUGAAAUGCGUAGAUAUCGGGAGGAACACCAGUGGCGAAGGCGGCUUCCUGGCCCGUUCUUGACGCUGAGGCGCGAAAGCUAGGGGAGCAAACGGG
rnacentral:rRNA from 1 species